rnacentral:rRNA from 1 species
UACGAAGGGGGCUAGCGUUGCUCGGAAUCACUGGGCGUAAAGCGCACGUAGGCGGCUUUCUAAGUCAGACGUGAAAUCCCUCAGCUUAACUGGGGAACUGCGUCUGAUACUGGAUGGCUUGGAUUCGGGAGAGGAAUGCGGAAUUCCAGGUGUAGCGGUGAAAUGCGUAGAUAUCUGGAGGAACACCGGUGGCGAAGGCGGCAUUCUGGACCGAUAUUGACGCUGAGGAGCGAAAGCCAGGGGAGAAAACGGG